UCUUAUGAUUGGCUUGUCCCGGUUGUGUUAGAGAUGUUAAUGUGAACGAUGAGACCGCUCUACACAUUGCGGUUAUGAAUGAUAGAUAUGAAGAACUCGAAGUACUCUGCGUCAUGUAGUUGCUGAAUCGCUAGAGACACAAGAACUGAACGGACGUGAUCAAAUGUUGAUUAUGAUCGUUGUUGUUGUUAACAUGGUUGUGUUUUUCUUGCGGUGGAAGCUGUCUACGAAGAAAAAACCUGAAUUCAGAAGCGACUUCAUCUUAAUUGAAGGCAUUAAGUAGUGUAGAACAAAUUAAAGAAGUGUAGUGAUGUGAGAUAUGUGAGUUUGGUAAUAAUACGA